rnacentral:rRNA from 1 species
CGCAGGCGGUCGUUCAAGUCGCGUGUGAAAGCCCCCGGCUCAACUGGGGAGGGUCACGCGAUACUGAUCGACUCGAAGGCAGGAGAGGGAAGUGGAAUUCCCGGUGUAGUGGUGAAAUGCGUAGAUAUCGGGAGGAACACCAGUGGCGAAGGCGACUUCCUGGCCUGUUCUUGACGCUGAGGCGCGAAAGCUAGGGGAGCAAACG